rnacentral:rRNA from 1 species
GACGAACGCUGACGGCGUGCCUAACACAUGCAAGUCGAGCGAGGAGAGUUCCUUCGGGAACAAACCUAGCGGCGGACGGGUGAGUAACACGUGGGCAACCUGCCUUGUAGAGGGAAUAGCCUUCCGAAAGGAAGAUUAAUACCGCAUAACAUUACAGUUUCGCAUGAAACAGUAAUUAAAGGAGUAAUCCGCUACAAGAUGGGCCCGCGGCGCAUUAGCUAGUUGGUGAGGUAACGGCUCACCAAGGCGACGAUGCGUAGCCGACCUGAGAGGGUGAUCGGCCACAUUGGGACUGAGACACGGCCCAGACUUCUACGGGAGGCAGCAGUGGGGAAUAUUGCACAAUGGGGGAAACCCUGAUGCAGCAACGCCGCGUGAGUGAUGAAGGUUUUCGGAUCGUAAAGCUCUGUCUUCGGGGACGAUAAUGACGGUACCCGAGGAGGAAGCCACGGCUAACUACGUG